GUCUACGGCCACACCACCCUGAACGUGCCUGAUCCUGCCUGAUCUGGGAAGCUAAGCACGGUUGGUUAGUACUUGGACGGGAGAAUGCACGCUAGGAGGCAGUGGAUG
rnacentral:rRNA from 1 species